rnacentral:rRNA from 1 species
GUGAUGAAAUGGUUUUGGGUCGUAAAAGUCUGGUGGUAGGGAAGAAAGGGUGGUGGUUGAAUCUGCUGGUUAUUUGACGGUACUUAACCAGAAAGCCACGGCUAACUACGUGCCAGCAGCCGCGGUAAU